UUAAAAAUAGCUGGUUCCGAACCAACAAUUUCAGACUCCAUACUGUUAAUUAAUAGAACAGUUUCGGAAAAAUUAAGACAUUUAGAAAAUACAGUUGUUAAAAAAAUAGAAGAACAAGUAAUCGACAACUUUAAAAAGCUCAAUAUUAAAAAUAUUAAUGAUAAGCCUCAAGAAAACAAAAAAAUAAUUUGCACAGAGUGGUGGUGCCCACAACACUCGAACUUUAUAACAUUAGUGGCAAUAUAUGCACCUAAAGAUGAGGAAGACAGGGUAAUUAUAAGAAGGGCCAAAGCAAGAUAUGCUCAUUGGACUAAAAAUGGAGAGAUUAGAUGCUGCACAAUAGACCGUAAAAAAUCAACAAAAAAUAUAUAUGUAUCGCCUAAAGAUUGGCCGACUAAUUUUGAUAAAAAUAAUCAAG